GAGAGGCAGGAGGCAGGAGCCAGGCACCUAUGGAGGCAAAACAUUCUGUCCUCCUCCAACCCCUUGGCACCAUUUGGGGCUAGGGGACACGGCAUUCCUGGGUCUACAGCUAAACACAGCUUGAGGGGCCGCCCCACCGCUGCCCCCUACCCCACCAAAAAAAAGGAGAGCAGCCCCAGCAAAAGCUACUGAAGAUCGCGGCCAUUUGUCACAUCUAACAGCCACUGGAGCUGCUUUGAACAGGGGAGGAACAUGACCAAACCUGGGCUUUAAGAGUAUCACUGACAACUAUGUGAAGGAGGCAUAGAAAGGAGAACAUGGAGGCAGGACACCCAAUCAGGCUCCUGCAGUAAUCCAGGCAAGAGAGGAAGAGUCUCAAGUAUGGUGGUGAAUGUGUGAGUGGAGAGAUGGGGACAAACAAGCAAAUAGACAAGACUACAACUGACUGGGCAAGAGAUGGAAAAAUGAUCCUAAGACUGCAAAUGUUGGGGCCUGGAAAGACAGUGGCAUCUUCAACAUAAACAGUUAAGUUAGGAAGAGAGGAGAGUUUGGAAAUAAAAAUGAGUCCUGGUUUUGAGAUGUCUAUUGAAUAUCCAGUUGGGAAUAUUCAACAGGCGGUUUGGCAAAGUCAAAGUUAGAUAAAUCUAUGAGUUUUAUUUGAAUAUAGAUGAUCAUCAUUAAUGAAAGGAUCACUUGCAGAGUAGAAAGCCCUGGGAUGCACCAACACAUAGAGGGCCCGACACAGCUGAUGAUCCAGUAAACCAGACUGAGAAGGAAUGGUCAGAGGAGAGAACCUAGGGAGGACAGUGUCAAAAGAAUGGACAGAAGGGUGGUCAAGAGUCAAGUACUUCAGGGUUCAAGAAGCCUGACUGCUCAGCCCAAGCUGCUUGACUUGGUUGUUGGGUAGGCCAGAGGCUCCCUCCACGCAACUGGUGUAUGUGUGCACUAGGGAAACAAACAUGUCAAAUACCAAAA